CCUACGGGAGGCAGCAGUGGGGGAUAUUGCACAAUGGGGGAAACCCUGAUGCAGCGACGCCGCGUGUGGGAAGACGGUCCUCUGGAUUGUAAACCACUGUCCCCAGGGACGAAGAUGACGGUACCUGGGGAGGAAGCUCCGGCAAACUACGUGCCAGCAGCCGCGGUAAUACGUAGGGAGCGAGCGUUGUCCGGAAUUACUGGGGGUAACGGGAGCGUAGGCGGGACUGCAAGUUGGGUGUCAAAUCUACCGGCUCAACCGGUAGCCGCACUCAAAACUGCAGUUCUUGAGUGAAGUAGAGGCAGGCGGAAUUCCUAGUGUAGCGGUGAAAUGCGUAGAUAUUAGGAGGAACACCAGUGGCGAAGGCGGCCUGCUGGGCUUUUACUGACGCUGAGGCUCGAAAGUGUGGGGAGCAAACAGGAUUAGAUACCCGAGUAGUC
rnacentral:rRNA from 1 species